GAUGAACGCUAGCUACAGGCUUAACACAUGCAAGUCGAGGGGCAGCAUGGUCUUAGCUUGCUAAGGCCGAUGGCGACCGGCGCACGGGUGAGUAACACGUAACCAACCUGCAGUCUACUCUUGGACAGCCUUAUGAAAGGAAGAUUAAUACAAGAUGGCAUCAUGAUUCUGCAUGUUCACAUGAUUAAAUGUAUUCCGGUAGACGACGGUGAUGCGUUCCAUUAGAUAGUAGGCGGUGUGACGGGCCACCUAGUCUACGAUGGGAAGGGGUUCUGAGAGGGAGCUCCACCAGAUCGGAACUGAGACACGGUCCAAACUGCUACGGGAGGCAGCAGUGAGGAAUAGUGGGCAAGGGACGCAGGCCUGAACCAGCCAAGUGGCGUAAAGAAAGACUGCCCUAGGAGUGGUAAACUUCUAUUAGAAAGGAAUAAAGUCGGGUAUGUAUACCCGUUUGCAGGUACUUUAUGAAUAAGGAACGGCUAACUCCGUG
rnacentral:rRNA from 1 species